rnacentral:lncRNA from 1 species
CCCCUGUGUUCAUAAAACAUCAACUAAAGUGAAAUUGGACUGCCCAUAAGAGGAACACAGAUGAAGAGAAUCAGAGAAUAAGAAAAAGUAUUCCCAGGACAAAGCUGUACAUUCUAGCAUAAAAUAGAGGGGAAAAGAAAUAACUAAAAUAAGGAAUAAAUCCAGAAGCAGGGGAAGAUUCCAUAGGUUUACACAGGUACUUUGAUGCAAAGAAUCCUCACCAGACCUUAGUAAAGCCUAGCACCAUGAUCUUGAAGCCCUUAAGAAUUAAUCAAAUCUGACAGGAUCCGAACUCAGCCGGCAGGCUCCAGCACACCCAGA